rnacentral:rRNA from 1 species
AAGUCGAGCGGUAGCACAAAGAGCUUGCUCUCGGGUGACGAGCGGCGGACGCGGUGAGUAAUGUCUGGGAAACUGCCUGAUGGAGGGGGAUAACUACUGGAAACGGUAGCUAAUACCGCAUAACGUCGCAAGACCAAAGUGGGGGACCUUCGGGCCUCAUGCCAUCAGAUGUGCCCAGAUGGGAUUAGCUAGUAGGUGGGGUAACGGCUCACCUAGGCGACGAUCCCUAGCUGGUCUGAGAGGAUGACCAGCCACACUGGAACUGAGACACGGUCCAGACUCCUACGGGAGGCAGCAGUGGGGAAUAUUGCACAAUGGGCGCAAGCCUGAUGCAGCCAUGCCGCGUGUGUGAAGAAGGCCUUCGGGUUGUAAAGCACUUUCAGCGGGGAGGAAGGCGGUGAGGUUAAUAACCUCGUCGAUUGACGUUACCCGCAGAAGAAGCACCGGCUAACUCCGUGCCAGCAGCCGCGGUAAUACGGAGGGUGCAAGCGUUAAUCGGAAUUACUGGGCGUAAAGCGCACGCAGGCGGUCUGUCAAGUC